ACGUAGGUGGCGAGCGUUGUCCGGAAUUACUGGGUGUAAAGGGCGCGUAGGCGGUUAUGUAAGUCAGGUGUGAAAGCCCGCAGCUCAACUGCGGAAUUGCAUCUGAAACUAUGUAUCUUGAGUGCCGGAGAGGAAAGCGGAAUUCCUAGUGUAGCGGUGAAAUGCGUAGAUAUUAGGAGGAACACCAGUGGCGAAGGCGGCUUUCUGGACGGUAACUGACGCUGAGGCGCGAAAGCGUGGGGAGCAAACAGGAUUAGAUACCCUGGUAGUCCACGCUGUAAACGAUGGAUACUAGGUGUAGGAGGUAUCGACCCCUUCUGUGCCGCAGUUAACACAAUAAGUAUCCCACCUGGGGAGUACGGCCGCAAGGUUG
rnacentral:rRNA from 1 species